AUUCUACUCCCUCCGUUACACAAUACAUGCCUUCUAUUUGUCAAAAUAUAGAUGUAUCUAGACAUGUCUUAGUAUAUAGGUACAUCCAUUUUUGGACAAAUGGAAGUCAAGUAUUUUGGAACGGAGGGAGUACACA
rnacentral:pre_miRNA from 1 species